GGGAAAGCCCGUUCCAGUAACAACAAAUUGGAGAGUUCAAAAAAUGGAAGCUGAAGCAGCAUUAGAGUUAGUGAAGCAUGGCGCUACCUUGCUACUUCUUGAUGUUCCUCAGAAUACCCUCAUCGGUAUUGAUACCCAGAUGUUUUUCUCCGGGCCUAAUUUCAAAGGUGUGAAGAUGAUUCCUCCUGGCGUUCAUUUCAUCUAUUACAGUUCAUCCAACAGAGAAGGGAAUGAGUUCUCACCAAUAGUUGGUUUUUUCGUUGAGGCUAGCCCUUCAGAGGUCAUUGUUAAGAAAUGGGAUUCAAAGGAUGAGCGAUUUGUCAAAUUAUCCGAAGAAGAGGGAGAGAGAUAUGCUCAAGCGGUGAAAAAAUUGGAGUUUGACAGACAACUUGGCCCUUAUGCAUUGGAUCAGUACGGAGAUUGGAAGCGCUUAUCUAACUUUAUUACGAAGAGUACCAUUGGAAGAAUUGAACCUGUUGGAGGAGAAAUUACAAUUAUUUCUGAAUCUGAAAUGGUUGGGAAUGUUCAUAAGACGGCCAUGGAGAAAGUCUUGGCUGAGCAGUUAAAGAGUAGCAAGUUCUCGAAGCCUGAUAAGAAGUCUCCAAGUAACAGUUGUUAUUACACCUCAAUUCCUCGUGUUAUAAAGCUAAAGGGAGUUUCAGGACAAGAUCUUACUAACAUGAAUCUGGACAAGACACACAUAUUGGAGACAAUUCUGACGAAGCAAUAUGGUGGUUCAGAAGAUUCACUUCUGGGAGAACUACAAUUUGCCUUUGUAGCGUUUCUGAUGGGACAGUCACUUGAAGCAUUUCUGCAAUGGAAGCUUUUAGUCAGCCUAUUACUUGGCUGUACAGAAGCUCCUCUCCACACAAGGACUCAGCUAUUCACCAAGUUCAUCAAAGCAAUAUAUUAUCAGUUGAAAAUUGGAUUUCAAAAGGAUAGCAAGGAUACUAGCAGGGCAGAGAAAGGUGCAACGGCCUCGUUGGACGAAUCUUUGUUGUCUGCUGAUAACU
rnacentral:misc_RNA from 1 species